rnacentral:rRNA from 1 species
UACAGAGGGGGCAAGCGUUGUUCGGAAUUACUGGGCGUAAAGCGCGCGCAGGCGGCCUUCUAAGUCGAACGUGAAAUCCCCGGGCUCAACCCGGGAACUGCGUCCGAUACUGGAAGGCUUGAAUCCGGGAGAGGGAUGCGGAAUUCCAGGUGUAGCGGUGAAAUGCGUAGAUAUCUGGAGGAACACCGGUGGCGAAGGCGGCAUCCUGGACCGGUAUUGACGCUGAGGCGCGAAAGCCAGGGGAGCAAACGGG